rnacentral:rRNA from 1 species
UACAGAGGGUGCGAGCGUUAAUCGGAAUUACUGGGCGUAAAGCGCAUGUAGGUGGCUAGAUAAGUCUGAUGUGAAAGCCCUGGGCUUAACCUGGGAAAGUCGUUGGAAACUGUUUAGCUAGAGUGGGAUAGAGGGUCGUGGAAUUUCCGGUGUAGCGGUGAAAUGCGUAGAGAUCGGAAAGAACACCAGUGGCGAAGGCGGCGACCUGGGUCCAAACUGACACUGAGGUGCGAAAGCAUGGGGAGCAAACAGG